UACGAAGGGUGCAAGCGUUACUCGGAAUUACUGGGCGUAAAGGGCGCGUAGGCGGCUUUGCAAGUGACGGGUGAAAUCCCUCGGCUUAACCGAGGAACUGCCUGUCAAACUGCAUGGCUUGAGACCGGGAGAGGUGAGUGGAAUUCCCAGUGUAGCGGUGAAAUGCGUAGAUAUUGGGAGGAAGACCAGUGGCGAAGGCGGCUCACUGGACCGGUACUGACGCUGAUGCGCGAAAGCGUGGGGAGCAAACAGG
rnacentral:rRNA from 1 species